rnacentral:rRNA from 1 species
UACGUAGGGGGCUAGCGUUGUCCGGAAUCAUUGGGCGUAAAGAGCGUGUAGGCGGCCAGGUAAGUCCGCUGUGAAAGUCGGGGGCUCAACCCUCGAAUGCCGGUGGAUACUGUCGGGCUAGAGUGCGGAAGAGGCGAGUGGAAUUCCUGGUGUAGCGGUGAAAUGCGCAGAUAUCAGGAGGAACACCAAUUGCGAAGGCAGCUCGCUGGGACGUAACUGACGCUGAGACGCGAAAGCGUGGGGAGCAAACAGG